rnacentral:ncRNA from 2 species
AUCUUAUCGAGAGAGGUGGAGGGACUGGCCCUAUGAAACCCAACAACCGGCAUUUAAUCGAAAAUGUGGCGGUGUUAAUUCCAGCAGAAAUUUUCUGAAAGAUAAGAG